rnacentral:tRNA from 1 species
AAAAAUAAGCUAAAUU